rnacentral:rRNA from 1 species
AUCACAACAGUGAAACAACCCACCGUAACACCNAUCAGAGUAGGUAUCAGGNCAUNCAGCCCACAACACCAAGCAACUANNAGCCACACCCCCACGGGCAAGCAGCAGUAGUUAAUAUUAGGCCAUAAGCAACUUCUAAACUUGACCUAGUAAGAGGCCACCACACUGGGCCGGUUAAUCUCNGUGCCAGCGACCGCGGUUAUACGACAGACCCAAGAUAAUAGCACCGGCGUAAAGCACGACUAGAACCCUUGUUUNCAAAUANNUGGGAAAGAAACCNAAACCAGGCUGUAAAAAGCCAUAAGCCCCACUAAUACNCCNCACCCCNAUNAAUAUANCAACUUUAACUCGUGAAAAUAGGAUUACAAACUAAGAUUAGAUACCUUACUAUGCCUAAAUNUAACAUANCAAUAAAAUCACCAAUUGUUCGCCAAAUAACUACGAGUAAAAACUUAAAAUUUAAAAGACUUGACGGUACUUUACAUCACCCUAGAGGAGCCUGUCUAAUAACCGAUACUCCACGAUUAACCCAACCCGCCCUAGCAACUACAGUCUAUAUACCGCCAUCGCCAGCUCACCUUGUAAAAGAACCAUANGCGAGCCAAAAAGCAUCAACACUAACACGAUAGGUCGAGGUGUAACUAAUGGGCAGGAACAAGAUGGGCUACAUUUUCUCAUACAGAAAACACGGACAAANCUUUGAAAAAAGAAACCGAAGGCGGAUUUAGCAGUAUGUUGAAGACNAAAAUACUCAACUGAAACAAACGCAAUAAAGUGCGUACACACCGCCCGUCAUCCCUGUAAACAUUACCANAAANUUAUAUAANACCCAUAUAAACCAUCAAACAGGGCAAGUCGUAACAC